ACUUAAUUUGGCAUGUUUUAACAGAAUUAUAGGAAUUUCUUACAAUUAGUUUUUUUUCUUCACUGCAGAAGAUAAUGCUGUCAGUGUGACAGUUGGAGCUGUUUUUGGCGGCCUUAUCUUAGGCAUUGUUCUAACUGUUCUUGGGGUCAUCAUCUACAAAAAUAUACGAAAUGGGAAACCCAAGGCUGGAAAAAAACAAGACCAAACGGUUGCAUUUUUUAACAACACUUCUUAUGAAACUGAAAGAGAAGCACAUCAGAACCACUCUACUGUGCAACGUGCAAAUGAGAGAAAGAUUGUUAAUGUGCCACCGUUUGCUCAUUCUAGGGAUUUACCAGUAACGGAAAACACAUACACCCAUCAUGGCAACAAAAGUUCGAUGGCAAAUAGGCAUGACGUAAAUAAUGACGUAUAUAAUCAUCUGCAUGAAAAGGAAGAGGAUUCCGACAUUGAUGAAACUUACGACCACGCCCAUGAAAACAUAAAUCGUACAAUGGAGGAGAGUGACUACAGUAAUCUAAAUACAGGGAGACAAUACAUGGGACCAGGUGUUUCAGCUACUGAAGAUAAUGAUUAUGAUGAACGCGAGCUGCCUGGUGAUUACUGUUCACUGGAAAAGCAGUGAAGAAUUGGAAAUUAUUGUGCAAAGACACUGUUAAGAUUAGUCUGAGUCAAGCAUUUUAUGAGACUGUUUGUUGUCUUUCAUUGACUUACUUUAGAGACCUUUUAAAUGCAUAAAGCAUAUAUUUUGAGAUCAAGUGUAGGGAGUAAAAAUGUUUUCGGUCGACUACAGGAAUCAUUAGGCAUGUUAGGGGAAACAUUCUCGAUUAUUUUUUUUUUCGUAGUUUUGGAUAAUCUUUGAGUGACAGAGUAGAUAGAAUAAUCAUUCGACGAGUUCAUUCAUUUUAUGGUAUUAUUUUCAUUUCUUUCAAUAUGAUAAUGCUAAACCAAUUUGUUUGCUGUACAUACGUCAUUUAUUUUUCAUAAUUAAGUGAUGCCUUUCCAGUCUCUUUUCAAAUCACCUUUUAGACUUUUUGACGCAAGUCUAUGAAGCCAAGAAAAUCACAAAGGCACUUGUACGCUCAGUACUUUUCUCAUUAACGUAAUAUCAUGAUAACAUGGCGUAUUAUUUUUGACGAAGUUGUAUUGCUAAUAUUUGCUAUUAACACACAAUUAGGUCAUCACAUAAGGUUAAGUUGCAUCUGUUUGCUCAAGUCAGUACUAAUUUGUAUAUAUGUUUUACUUUCAUAAAUAAGGAUAAUAUUACUAAAAUUCUUCACAAAAGCUAUAUCGCCUUGACUUUAUGGGUAUCUCGUGUUAUAUUGUUCUUCAGAUAGGCUUGACUAUAAAAUGAUUGAUCUGACCUAAGGAUCAUAAAACAGGUUGAAACUUAAGUCAAAUGUUAAAUUGUUGUCUAAAAAUGUUAAAGAGUUAUUAUAUUUAAAUUGGAGAAAACAUCAUUUACAGUACUAGCUUUUGAUGCAAUAUGACAUUUUGAACUUGUGUAUAUCUUAU